UCCAGACAGAAAAGAACACAAGAAAAGGGCCAUCCCACAUUUGUUACUUUCUCUAUGUUCUUUCUUAAACUCUUCCUGCAAUAUCAGCCUUUAAUUUAAUGGCUUGCAACAGUAGAAGAUAGUAAAGCAUGCACUGUUGUAAUAUAACACCUGAAUUAAUAAUCAUAAGUUUCAGUAUAUAAUAUUUUCUCCUAGACACUUUAAGCCACUUUGAUAGGAAGAACGAAAGAUGAAGGUAAGUUCAUUAAUUUGUAUAAAAGUUUAAUGUAUGCAAAUCUUCUUUUCAUUAUUCGACUCAAUGAGGCCUAGUUUUUUAAUCCUUCGUAUUCUUUGCAGCUACUGGGUUGGCUGCAUCGUGAAUUCCGGCAGAACAAUGGUGAAACAAUACUGAAAGAUUUUUCUAAUGGUGAGUUUUGUACACAAAUCAGAUAGACAAUAAAUCAUAGAACAAGCGUGGAGCGUAUAUUGGAAAUUUACCUGAAUCCAAAAAUAAAAUAGCCAAUUCUUGAAUACAAGAGGGAGACACUGUUAAUUUGAUAAGGUCUAGUGCCAAGAUUAUUAUCUUAUACAUCUUUCUCUUACAGGGAAGCCACCAUCCAAUAGCAAAGCACAAAGAGAAAACUGUUUCAGAAACUCAUUUGCCAGUUUAGAGGCAGCAAGAAUGGAAGUAGAGGAGUUUGAAGAAGAAUCAUCUGCUGCUCUUACCGAACUUUUCCAUGGAUUCCUUGCUAUUGGUACCUUAGGUAUCAUUAAACCGCCUGAUAUAAAANN
rnacentral:lncRNA from 1 species